rnacentral:sRNA from 1 species
AAUUACCAGGAUCCCUUAAAAUAAAUGCAUCGAUAAUCAUAUUCCCUAUAUCUACCGAUGAUUCUAUCAACAUUUGAGCAAUGCGUUCAAAUGCAUAAUGAUUGUGCUUGCUCUCAUGAUAAUCAUCAGUUAAUGCUUGUAAAUAGGCUAAUUUCUGAGUUAGUUUAUCUUUGUCUACAAAAUACAUUCCUUGUCACCUCUCACUUAUAUAUUAUCAUAAUUUUGCAGUAUACUUCAUUUGUCGUUAUACUAACUUUACUACU